UUUUGCAAAGUAUCACUGCUU
rnacentral:miRNA from 1 species